UCGGAGAAAAUUAGUUUUGGAAUAUAGAACCUAUAGAAUUUAACUCUAGUGGUUGUUAAAUAAUCUGCCCACCACCAUAAUUAAAGAUCACUUAACCAAAAUUGACGACUGGACCACCUAAUUAAUCGUGGUUUGAGUUGACUAGAAAUGCAGGACAACUAUUUGGCUGAAAAGAUUGCCACUUGAUGUUAAUAUAAGUCACCCUGGAGAGCUUGGCUGAGUUCCUCAACAGUUACUCAAAUCACAGACUGAGUUAUGGAGCAUGUGUCGCCUUAGUUAUCAAUUUGAUGGAUCAGGAUACUGAGUUCAAUACGAGGAUCUAUAAAAAGAAGUAUACUGAAGAUUUCUUUCUUUCUUUGCUUCAUGCUCUGUUAACGACUUAGUAGCUUGUUGAAUGCUACUUAUAAUUUUUUUUCUCAAGAAAAUAAUAAUAUUCUGAAGUGGCAGUGCAUAUUUUUAAGUUUAUGCACAGAUAUCUGAACUAGGUAAAGAUUGUUAGCGCAUAGAUUACAAGGAAUUGUCAGUUUAGCACAAAUUUAUUGAUUCUUGACCGUGCUUCUAAUUUUUCUACAUUUUCUUCUCAAAUUAGCUUUGUUAUUUAUUACUUUACUAUUGCAGGGAGAGUUCGACUUGUGAAGGCGGGAGAAAAUAUGAGUAAGAUUUCCAUUGAUGAGCUUAGGGAGGGAUUAUUGUAAUGGAACUCCAAUACGGUGAUAUACUCGCACGUUUGGUAAGGUGAAUUAUAUGAUGGUGAAGAGGAGGUAAAAGAAGCUGAAAUCUUGGUCAUUUUACCGUUCAGGAUGGUCUAAUAGUGCAUACACAACAAGGAUAACAAUCUACAGAGGUAGCUGAAGAGCCAUACUUUUGCUUGGUGUAUUUGAGUAUCAAUAUGGAUUUCUGCACUUAAUAUUUUUUUUAUCGAUAAAUGUAAAAUCUAUUGACCAAUACUCAUUUAUAAGUACACUGCCAUAUCCGGA